UGAUGGCUGUUGGGCCUCCUCACAUUGCUCCCCUUGCUGUCCUUCCCCUUUCCACCCUUGCCUUUACUGCUUCCCUUUCCCUUCUUUAGGCCUCCCAUCCUAGCCCAGGCCCUCAGGCCCUGGCCACUAUCAGGUUGAAGGCCGCUGCUGUUGCUGCUGCUUUGGGUUCACGGGGAGAACAAAUAGAUUGUGCCUCAAAGACAAUUUGGCGGCAGCAGGCUGGCAAUAGCUGCCACAUAAUACGCUUUCAGACAGCCAUUGGAGCGCUUUCUCUACGCGCCUCACCCAGAUAAUCUACUGGCUGUCUGCAUGCUGCAAUAUUCUC
rnacentral:lncRNA from 1 species